CCCGGACGUGGGAGUGAAGUCUUAAACCCCCCUUCCCGAGAGGGAGUGUGGGUUCGAGCCCCACCCCGGGCA
rnacentral:tRNA from 1 species